rnacentral:rRNA from 1 species
GAGUUUGAUCCUGGCUCAGAAUCAACGCUGGCGGCGCGCCUUAACACAUGCAAGUCGAACGAGAAAGGGGAGCAAUCCCUGAGUAAAGUGGCGCACGGGUGAGUAACACGUGGGUAAUCUACCUUCUUGUGGGGAAUAACCCUGGGAAACCGGAGCUAAUACCGCAUAAGCCCGAAAGGGGAAAGCAGCAAUGCGCAGGAAGAGGAGCCCGCGGCCGAUUAGCUAGUUGGUAGGGUAAUGGCCUACCAAGGCUUUGAUCGGUAGCCGGCCUGAGAGGGCACACGGCCACACUGGCACUGAAACACGGGCCAGACUCCUACGGGAGGCAGCAGUGGGGAAUCUUGCACAAUGGGGGAAACCCUGAUGCAGCGACGCCGCGUGAGCGAUGAAGCCCUUCGG